UGGGGAAUAUUGCACAAUGGAGGGAACUCUGAUGCAGCGACGCCGCGUGAACGAAGAAGGCUUUCGAGUCGUAAAGUUCUUUUAUAUGGGAAGAUAAUGACGGUACCAUAAGAAAAAGCCCCGGCUAACUACGUGCCAGCAGCCGCGGUAAUACGUAGGGGGCUAGCGUUGUCCGGAAUCACUGGGCGUAAAGGGUGCGUAGGUGGUCUUUCAAGUCGGUGGUUAAAGGCUACGGCUCAACCGUAGUUAGCCUCCGAAACUGGAAGACUUGAGUGCAGGAGAGGAAAGUGGAAUUCCCAGUGUAGCGGUGAAAUGCGUAGAUAUUGGGAGGAACACCAGUAGCGAAGGCGGCUUUCUGGACUGCAACUGACACUGAGGCACGAAAGCGUGGGUAGCAAACAGG
rnacentral:rRNA from 1 species